rnacentral:SRP_RNA from 1 species
GCUUGGGGAAGUCUGCCUCCGCAGAGGCCUGGCAGUCUGCUGAGGUUUACUGUUCCCAGCACUUGCAGUCAUUUUAUGGAGGCACUCUGUGCGCCCUCCCUCCAUUGCCGUUCCCCACAACAACUGGAUGUCCAUACUAAGUUUGGCUUCAAUAUGGUAACCUCCUAGGAGCGGGAGAUUACCAGGUUGCCUGGCAAGGGGUGAACUAGCCUAAGGCUAGAAAUGGAGCAGGUCAAAACUCCCAUGUUGAUCAGGAGUGGGAUCAUGGCAGUGAAUAGCCACUGCACACCUGCCUUGGUGACACAGUGAAACCCUGUCU